rnacentral:rRNA from 1 species
CCUACGGGUGGCUGCAGUGGGGAAUAUUGCACAAUGGGCGCAAGCCUGAUGCAGCCAUGCCGCGUGUGUGAAGAAGGCCUUCGGGUUGUAAAGCACUUUCAGCGGGGAGGAAGGCGGUGAGGUUAAUAACCUCAUCGAUUGACGUUACCCGCAGAAGAAGCACCGGCUAACUCCGUGCCAGCAGCCGCGGUAAUACGGAGGGUGCAAGCGUUAAUCGGAAUUACUGGGCGUAAAGCGCACGCAGGCGGUCUGUCAAGUCGGAUGUGAAAUCCCCGGGCUCAGCCUGGGAACUGCAUUCGAAACUGGCAGGCUAGAGUCUUGUAGAGGGGGGUAGAAUUCCAGGUGUAGCGGUGAAAUGCGUAGAGAUCUGGAGGAAUACCGGUGGCGAAGGCGGCCCCCUGGACAAAGACUGACGCUCAGGUGCGAAAGCGUGGGGAGCAAACAGGAUUAGAUACCCGUGUAGUC